CAUGGCCGACAGGCUCAGCAAGUGGUGCAGGAUAUGCUUCCGCAAGACCCCUCUCUGCGAUGAUUGUAUUAAGGUGUUGCAUAUCAUACAUAUUACUGAAGAUGAUUUAAAUGUCGGGACCCGCCUUCUGGUUGCCCGCCGGAAAGUGCUCCAUUGGCUUCCCGCUUCAAGAGACUCAUUUACAAGAUUCUUAAUGCUCAAGCAUUUAUAUAUUAAUAUUCUAUGUGUCACAGAUGACGAAUUUUGUUUGUAAUAAUCUUAUGGGUUAAGUUCAGUUGAAGUGGUAUUUGGAAAUUAUUAUUGUAUAAGACGAUUUGUGAUAAUUGUAUAAUUCUGGCGUUUAUGAUUGUAUAAAACAUCCCGGUGUAUAUUGAGCAAUAUUCGGAAAUCCAAAAUUGGUUUAAGUGAAACGCGAAACUAAAGGUAUGAGUUGCCACUUUAAACCAGGGGUAUUCGGAUAAAAAGUAUUUUGUUAAAGUUUCACACCUGACAGAGUUUUAGACAUACUAGUACGGCCGUCGUGCCUAUGUCCAGUAUUUGGGUUAAAUAUGCAAAUAGUUCAAGCGUAAAUUGUCACGCAGACUACCACGCACGUAUUGUGAUGUAUGGGAUUGGUCGCCCAGUACCCAUGCAUGGGUGCGGCACAUUCCAAUUAAAUAUUUGUGGGUGUAUAAAAGCAAGGUUUAGGGAGUGGCACGUCACUUAGUGGCAAGCAACUCAGCUCGAAGUCUCUUAGGGCACAGAGGCCCUUUUUGAAUUGGAUCUCCAGUUUUGGGGAAAGCCGACGGAAGUUUAUGGUGCCGGCCGAUGCCGAUGAUUGAGGACACCCGUUGGGCUGUGGGUUUUCCGAGGGAGCUCGUAAUGCCACUAAGUCACGAGCCUUAAAAGCUAGAUUUAUUCUGGCUUUUUCGGUUGGGAUCGGGACACCGUGAUUCUAAGCCGGGAGUGCUGUGCCGACCCCCGUCCAAGCAUGCAUCAGUGGACCUGACGUCACCCGCUGGAAGCCGCCGAUGCUCCCGUGUGCUGCUGUCCCCGUUCCAUUUGUCUGUCCCGGUACCGCGAUGGAGUUGGUGAUGGGUAUUUUAUUUAUAUUGUAUUAAUUUCUCGAUGUGUAAUGUAAAUUGAAACUAUAUUAAGUUAAUUGUAAGUUUGGUUUAUUUAAGUUUGGUUUAUUGAAAUUAAAUGUUUUGAAUUCGUUA